rnacentral:rRNA from 1 species
AGUGAACGCUGGCGGUAGGCCUAACACAUGCAAGUCGAACGGCAGCACAGUAAGAGCUUGCUCUUACGGGUGGCGAGUGGCGGACGGGUGAGGAAUACAUCGGAAUCUACCUUUUCGUGGGGGAUAACGUAGGGAAACUUACGCUAAUACCGCAUACGACCUACGGGUGAAAGCAGGGGAUCUUCGGACCUUGCGCGAUUGAAUGAGCCGAUGUCGGAUUAGCUAGUUGGCGGGGUAAAGGCCCAGCAAGGCGACGAUCCGUAGCUGGUCUGAGAGGAUGGUCAGCCACACUGGAACUUAGACACGGUCCAGACUCCUACGGGAGGCAGCAGUGGGGAAUAUUGGACAAUGGGCGCAAGCCUGAUCCAGCCAUACCGCGUGGGUUGAGGAGGCCUUCGGGUUGGAAAGCCCUUUUGUUGGGAAAGAAAAGCAGCAGGUUAAUACCCCGCUGUUCUGACGGUACCCAAAGAAUAAGCACCGGCUAACUUCGUG